UCAUUAAUCUGGCCUAGAUAGAUAAUAUUUGAAGGAUGGUAAACAAAAACUAAUAUAACUUCUGCUACUACUCGAUCUAGACUAAGAACAUCAUGAGGGUAAUGACUCUAACAAGAAUAAAUGGUACCACCGAUCCAGCUAGGAGAAAGAGCUCAAUCAUAACAUCUGCUAAAAGUGCAUAUAAAAGCUUGUUGAAGUUUUGGAUUUGGCCUCGCAUCACAUCAUUCUUGACUUGCAUCUCAUCUAUAUGCUGCCUUAUUGGUUCAAUGGAGUAUCCAAGCAACUUGAUUACAUGCUAUUACACGAGAUCAACCCAUAUCCAUGUGUAACAAAACUUGAUCCCUCCUGUUUGUGGAUCACAAUAUAUAUGCACAUAAUGAUGUGAGCGACACUAGUUUUGAAUUGUUCAUUUUUUUGAAAUAGCUCGAGAGGUAUUUUCUAUCAUAUACCUUUCCACGGCCAGCGCAGAUGUAGAACUCUUGGUGUGGAUUCCAUUUUUUGUGCAAGAUAUUCGUAUCAAUAGGGCAUCGAAAGCCGCAAAGCAGCACGAGUUUUCUCGCCCAAAUCCUGCGAGCUUAGGUGUUGGUGGUUUAGCUGCUAGAUUGAAUAGACGUUACACUGGUAAAACGGGAUGAUUUGUCGGACAAGGCCAACCGCAUUGGCCGUUGCGAUCUCACGGCGUAGCCAACAGAUCUAGAGGGAAGGUUGGCCAAUGCGGCGGGCUCCCAACCUUUUGACACACUCCGUUGAUGUGGCCUCACACGCAGGUCUUGUGCCAAUUCAACAUGCUCUGGUGGGUUCAUUACCACCCAUGUAGCUAGCUAAGAGGGAACAACAAAAAUCUAAAAGGAGCUAGCUAGUUAGGGAGAAGAUUGUUGUGGAGAAUGAAAGCGAACGUGUUUGAUAAACAAGGGCCGCCAACACUCCUAUAU
rnacentral:lncRNA from 1 species